rnacentral:rRNA from 1 species
AAUUAAAUUUAAUUAAAUUAAUUAUAAAUUAUUAAAUGUUAAAUCAUUAAAUUAAAAAGAUUUGGCGGUAUUUUAGAAAGUUAGAGGAACCUGUAUAGUAAUUGAUAAUCCACAAUAAGAUAUACUUAAUUAAAAGUUUAUGUAUUGCUGUUUAAAGAUUAUUAAUAAAUAAGUUUUUAAAUUUUUAUAUAUAAAUAAAUUCAAGUCAAAAUAUAAUUUAGUUAAGAUUAAUAUGGGUUACAAUUAUUUAAAUAUAUAAUAUUAAUGAAUAAAUAAAUUUAAUUUUAUUUUAAAAAUGGAUUUAAUAGUAAAUUUAAUAAAUAAAUUAUUUUGAAAUAAAAUAAUAAAAUAAGU